GAUGAACGCUGGCGGCGUGCCUAACACAUGCAAGUCGAACGGAACUAUUUUGGAAACUCCUUCGGGAGCGGAAUCUUUAGUUUAGUGGCGGACGGGUGAGUAACGCGUGAGCAAUCUGCCUUUAAGAGGGGGAUAACAGUCGGAAACGGCUGCUAAUACCGCAUAAAGCAUUGAAUUCGCAUGUUUUCGAUGCCAAAGUAGCAAUCCGCUUUUAGGUAAGCUCGCGUCUGAUUAGCUAGUUGGCGGGGUAACGGCCCACCAAGGCGACGAUCAGUAGCCGGACUGAGAGGUUGAACGGCCACAUUGGGACUGAGACACGGCCCAGACUCCUACGGGAGGCAGCAGUGGGGAAUAUUGCGCAAUGGGGGAAACCCUGACGCAGCAACGCCGCGUGAUUGAAGAAGGCCUUCGGGUUGUAAAGAUCUUUAAUCAGGGACGAAAAAUGACGGUACCUGAAGAAUAAGCUCCGGCUAACUACGUGCCAGCAGCCGCCGUAAUAC
rnacentral:rRNA from 1 species